UACGUGUGGAGCAAGCGUUAUCCGGAUUUACUGGGUGUAAAGGGUGCGUAGGUGGCAGUGCAAGUCAGAUGUGAAAGGCCGGGGCUCAACCCCGGAGCUGCAUUUGAAACUGCUCGGCUAGAGUACAGGAGAGGCAGGCGGAAUUCCUAGUGUAGCGGUGAAAUGCGUAGAUAUUAGGAGGAACACCAGUGGCGAAGGCGGCCUGCUGGACUGUUACUGACACUGAGGCACGAAAGCGUGGGGAGCAAACAGG
rnacentral:rRNA from 1 species